GUGUCCUUUCACAAACGAUGACAGUAAAUUGUAACAACAAAGAGCAUGUCAUUCAUUGAUCCUCUGUUGUUUCUCAUUGUAGACAUAGUUCUAGAGUGUCUGUGGGGCUAACUAAGGGGGACGCAUCCAGUCCUGAUUUUUCACAUCCGAACCUCUGUUGACACAGGUGGAGAAGCUGAUCCAGGAACGAGGCUGGGAGUUCAUGUGGAAUGAGCGUUUAGGAUACAUCUUGACCUGUCCAUCUAACCUGGGCACUGGACUUCGGGCAGGAGUACACGUCAAACUGCCACUGCUAAGCAAAGUAAAGGAUAUGUGGGGUUGGGGGGGUGUGAGUGAGAAGGGGGGUUUAGAUGGGGAUGGAGGAGGCACUCUGAAAGGAGACAGUCACAUGGGAUUAUGACUCGCUGCGGGCCAAGGACAAGGUGAGAACAGCCUCUGCCUCUGUUGACCUUCCCCUGACCUUUAUCCUGCAUCUAGGAUAGCCGCUUCCCAAAGAUCCUGGAGAACCUAAGGCUGCAAAAGCGUGGGACUGGAGGAGUGGACACGGCUGCCACAGGCAGUGUCUUUGACAUCUCUAAUCUGGAUCGACUUGGCAAGUCAGAGGUGAGGUCUUAUGAAUUAGGUUAAGAGGUUGAGAUAAGACAGUGAGCGAGCCUCAGGAAUGUAAUAGAAUCGGAAGCAAUGUCCUGGUUGAGUUGGGGAGGGGAGAGAAAACGAGUUUUCA
rnacentral:lncRNA from 1 species